rnacentral:rRNA from 1 species
CAGUAGCCGCGGGAAUACGUAGGUGGCAAGCGUUGUCCGGAAUUAUUGGGCGUAAAGCGAGCGCAGGCGGUUAGAUAAGUCUGAAGUUAAAGGCUGUGGCUUAACCAUAGUAGGCUUUGGAAACUGUUUAACUUGAGUGCAAGAGGGGAGAGUGGAAUUCCAUGUGUAGCGGUGAAAUGCGUAGAUAUAUGGAGGAACACCGGUGGCGAAAGCGGCUCUCUGGCUUGUAACUGACGCUGAGGCUCGAAAGCGUGGGGAGCAAACAGGAUUAGAUACCCCAGUAGUCCCUGUCUCUUAUACA